rnacentral:rRNA from 1 species
GGGUCAGUAGGUUGGUCGUGCCACCGGUACGUACUGGUCUCACUGAUUCCUCCUUCCUGAGGAACCGUAAUGCCAUUAAUUUGGUGUUGCGGGGAAACAGGACUGUUACUUUGAAAAAAUUAGAGUGUUUAAAGCAAGCUAACGCUUGAAUACAUUAGCAUGAAAUAAUGAAAUAGGACGAUCGAUCCUAUUUUGUUGGUUUCUAGGAUUGACGUA